CUUGUAAGCGGUGUUGUUAUAUCUGUCUGAUAUUUUAUCCUGUAUUGGGAUCAAUCUUUUGUGCUCUUUCCAAUGAUUUGAUCAUUUGAAAGUUUGACGACACCAAUUGGGAAGCAAUAGCAAAAGGUGUUGAUCUCAGUUGAGAUUCUACGAAUGGAUGAAGAAGAUAAUAAGCAUUGACUUUCUAGUAGUUUGCUAUUGUGAGUUUGCUUUCAAUGAGUUAGUUAGUUAGUUAGUUAGUUAGUUAGUUAGUAGUCUCAAAACCUUUAUGAUUUAUUCCCGAAAGGCUUGAUUGAUAUCUCAGGCUUUAACGCAAACUCUUGUACUGUUUGUUUUAUGUGAUAUGUUGAGAAAGACAUAGUUUGUUAUAUACCUUCUAAACUUAUGUGGGUUUUAUUAGCUUGGAGAUAGUAGAAGAAGGGCUUUAAUUAAAAAUGAGCAAUUUCACUUUAGGAAAUGUAGUGAAGAACAGUCUCCUUGGCGAGAGUUUUGUUGAUUGCUAAAAUGUUACCCGUGUGAGAGAGAGAGAGUAGAUUCUAACAUGCUUCUGUUAAUUAUAUGAAUGUUAAAGAAUGAUGAGGAGUGAGAUUAAACUUGUAAAUAUCAGAGAGUCUUCCAUGUACUUUAGCUGAUAUCUUGGUCCUUUGUCCAACCAAGUAGCUGUUUGGACAAUUGUGAAAUCGAGUACUGGUAUUUGACUCUCUCGUAAAAUGUUUACAAGGUAUAUAAUACUUGUUCCAUGUUUAUUAAUAUUCAGGAAGAGCUAGAGCAGCUUGAAAAGAUGGACAAUGGCAUCAGCCUCUUGCAAAGAAUAAAGAACAAACUUCUGCAUCAUCUUCUAUCCAGUUCACUGGAUGUUCUUAGGUUCUUAAACAAUGUUGACAGCAAACCAGAUCCUCUUCUUCCCCAAACAACAGGGGCUGUGAACUCGACAUGGGAUCAAUGGUUCGAACGUCCGAAAGAAGCAAAACGAUGUGGCUGCUUCAUUCUUUAAUCUUCAUUUCCUCCUACUCCUACGUUACCUUUUUCUCUAUAAUGCUUUUUACAAGAGUAUGUGGUUACGUUUUUCAUUCCCCGACAGUUAAAUUGUUAUAAUUGGUAACAAAAACAAAAGCAUUUGUGCAGAUAAAAUGUAUUUGAUAUUUAUUAAUGUGUGUUUUGAAUAUACAAAUAACCACAGAACAAAGUCUGAAACAAAGCAAAGAUUGUUCAGCUUUUCAGAUUUGAUAUUGUAGAAACAGUGUCAUACUCGAUAAAAAGCAACUAAACAGGUGAGGCAGACAAAGAAGACACUCUCUCUGACACGGUUCUGAGUUUCAACUUGCUUGAAUAUGCCAAUCAUGGUUCUUGAUGCAAAAACAGCAAUUCAAGAACAUUAUAGUAUACAAUUUUUAGUAUAUUAAUUUUGACAAGCAAAACUACCAAACCAAAUGCCUCAAAAUGUUUGAUGGACUGCUUAGAAAAAAAAAACAAUAGCACCUCCUCCUCCUCUUCCUCUUCAACUUCAACAUUCUUUUCAAGGGAAUUAGGUAUAUCAGGGUAGUAAACACUUUUCAAGGUUUCAAUGGCCUGUUAACAAAAGAAACAACACUAUCAUGAGAAUCUAAGAGCUUAAAAGA